rnacentral:rRNA from 1 species
AACGAACGCUGGCGGCAUGCCUAACACAUGCAAGUCGAACGAGAUCUUCGGGUCUAGUGGCGCACGGGUGCGUAACGCGUGGGAAUGUGCCCUUUGGUUGGGACUACCAGUUGGAAACGACUGCUAAUACCGGAUGAUGACGAAAGUCCAAAGAUUUAUCGCCAGAGGAUGAGCCCGCGUAGGAUUAGCUAGUUGGUGUGGUGAAGGCGCACCAAGGCGACGAUCCUUAGCUGGUCUGAGAGGAUGAUCAGCCACACUGGGACUUAGACACGGCCCAGACUCCUACGGGAGGCAGCAGUGGGGAAUAUUGGACAAUUGGCGAAAGCCUGAUCCAGCAAUGCCGCGUGAGUGAUGAAGGCCUUAGGGUUGUAAAGCUCUUUUACCCGGGAUGAUAAUGACAGUACCGGGAGAAUAAGCUCCGGCUAACUCCGUGCCAGCCGCCGCCGUAA